rnacentral:rRNA from 1 species
AGAGUUUGAUCCUGGCUCAGGACGAACGCUGGCGGCGUGCCUAACACAUGCAAGUCGAACGGAGUUGAUCUUUCGGGAUUAACUUAGUGGCGAACGGGUGAGUAACGCGUGAGAAACCAGCCUUUCAGUGGGGGACAACAGUUGGAAACGACUGCUAAUACCGCAUAAUGUCAUUUGGGGGCAUCCCUGAAUGACCAAAGCUUAAUGUGCUGAAAGAUGGUCUCGCGUCUGAUUAGCUAGAUGGCGGGGUAACGGCCCACCAUGGCGACGAUCAGUAGCCGGUCUGAGAGGAUGAACGGCCACAUUGGGACUGAGAUACGGCCCAGACUCCUACGGGAGGCAGCAGUGGGGAAUAUUGGGCAAUGGGGGAAACCCUGACCCAGCAACGCCGCGUGAAGGAAGAAGGCCUUCGGGUUGUAAACUUCUUUUACCAGGGACGAAGAACGUGACGGUACCUGGAGAAAAAGCAACGGCUAACUACGUGCCAGCAGCCGCGGU